GCCCGAGAAGCUCAAUUGGUUGAGCGAGACACUGAAGCUGUCUAGGUUGUAGGUUCGAAUCUUACCUCGAGCA
rnacentral:tRNA from 3 species